rnacentral:rRNA from 1 species
UGGGGAAUAUUGGGCAAUGGGCGAAAGCCUGACCCAGCAACGCCGCGUGAGGGAAGAAGGGUUUCGGCUCGUAAACCUCUGUCCUAUGGGACGAAGAAGAUGACGGUACCAUAGGAGGAAGCCCCGGCUAACUACGUGCCAGCAGCCGCGGUAAUACGUAGGGGGCGAGCGUUGUCCGGAAUGAUUGGGCGUAAAGGGCGCGUAGGCGGCUCGUUAAGUCUGGAGUGAAAGUCCUGCUUUCAAGGUGGGAAUUGCUUUGGAUACUGAUGAGCUUGAGUGCAGGAGAGGAAAGCGGAAUUACCGGUGUAGCGGUGAAAUGCGUAGAGAUCGGUAGGAACACCAGUGGCGAAGGCGGCUUUCUGGACUGAAACUGACGCUGAGGCGCGAAAGCGUGGGGAGCAAACAGGAUUAGAUACCCUGGUA